rnacentral:rRNA from 1 species
AGGACGAACGCUGGCGGCGUGCUUAACACAUGCAAGUCAAGGGGGCCCAGCAAUGGGCAACCGGCGAACGGGUGCGUAACACGUGAGCAACCUACCGAAAUGUGGGGGAUAGCCGGCCUAACGGCCGAGCAAUACCGCAUACGCUCUCGAUGAGGCAUUUCAUUGAGAGGAAACCUACGGGACAUUUCGAGGGGCUCGCGGCCUAUCAGCUAGUUGGCGAGGUAACGGCUCACCAAGGCAACGACGGGUAGCU